CCGGGCCAAUCAGAAAAAGAUCUUUUUCCAUCAUGACCCGACCGGGGAUCGAACCCGGGACCUGUCGGUUCAGAGGCAAGCAGUUUCCCACUGCGCCACCGAGGUCGUUAAAGUAUUUAACGAUCAGUUUCGAACUCAAUGUCGUACAUGUUGGCAAACUUCUGGCUCGGUAAAGAUGUCGCUGCUUAUGAUCAUGUAAAUUUUCAUUUCAAAAAACGAAUUAUGAAAAUGUUAGUAUUUUUUUCAUCGGUUCCAUUAUUACCCUCAAUAAUUUUUGAUUUUACGACAACGUUAUUUGUAAUUUAAGUGUUAAAAGAUCCUUAUCGACCUGAAAAUUAAAUUAUAAUGUGUUUUCUUUUUAACUGGGUGCUGUCACCACACCGAAGUUUAUUUUAUCACUAUUUAUCGUUUAUUUAACGUAUUAUUUAUUAAUAGAAUUCUAGUCACACUAACCUAUUAUAAGAACAUUUCCAUGACUAAUCGCGUAAAGCAUAACAAUUUAUUUAUUGGCAAAGCAAAAAAUCAAAUGUCAAUAGUUUAUUUAAAGUUUUACCGCCAUCACUCGCUUCGAAAAUGUUGUUUAGAAUUUCGUUUUUGUUAAUAAUUCUUAACUUUUACACAGCUUCUGCUUUUUUUGGCAAAAUGGAAGAAAGUGAAUGCGAUAUAAAUGGGGGGCAGUGUUUAUCUUUCUACUCGGGGCGGGGCUGUGAAUAUGGUCGCUUGAAAUAUUCCUGUUACGGCUUCGGGUCCUUCUGUUGUGUUUAUGAAUCGCGUUUUAUGAAAAAAAUAUCCGUUUAUCACGUGGUCCAAGACGACUAGAUAGUAUACCACGAAUGAAGGCCCGGGGAAAUAUGAGAAACUAUCAAUAAUAUAUAAGCCAUAUUGUUGUAUACAGCGACAGUAGCGCCACGUCUGCGGGUCUUCUUACGUAAUACGGAUUUUAUAAAAGCAAAUGCGCUUGCGCGGAUCUGCGCAAGAUCAUUGUUUAACUUAUUAUUGGGCUUGGAGUUCCAGAAUACGCCUUAAUACUUAUAAUUUUGCAUAAAUAGUGAUGAUAUUUUAUAAA